rnacentral:rRNA from 1 species
CCCUUAGAUGUUCUGGGCCGCACGCGCGCUACACUGUUCGACGCAGCGAGUCUUAACCUUGACCGAAAGGUUUGGGUAAUCUUCAGCAAAGUCGAACGUGAUGGGGAUCGAUCAUUGCAAUUAUUGAUCGUGAACGAGGAAUUCCUAGUAAGUGCAAGUCAUCAGCUUGCGCUGAUUACGUCCCUGCCCUUUGUACACACCGCCCGUCGCUACUACCGGUUGAAUGGUUUAGUGAGAUCUCUGGAUUGACGCUGGCUAGGGGGCGACCCUUGGCCAGGCUGUCGAGAAACUGCUCAAACUUGAUCAUUUAGAGGAAGUAAAAGUCGUAACA